rnacentral:rRNA from 1 species
GACGAACGCUGGCGGCGUGCUUAACACAUGCAGGUCGAACGGAAAGGCCCUGCUUUUGUGGGGUGCUCGAGUGGCGAACGGGUGAGUAACACGUGAGUAACCUGCCCUUGACUUUGGGAUAACUUCAGGAAACUGGGGCUAAUACCGGAUAGGAGCUCCUGCUGCAUGGUGGGGGUUGGAAAGUUUCGGCGGUUGGGGAUGGACUCGCGGCUUAUCAGCUUGUUGGUGGGGUAGUGGCUUACCAAGGCUUUGACGGGUAGCCGGCAUGAGAGGGUGACCGGCCACAUUGGGACUGAGAUACGGAGCAGACUCCUACGGGAGGCAGAAGUGGGGAGUAUUGCACAAUGGGCGGAAGCGUGAUGCAGCAACGCCGCGUGCGGGAUGACGGCCUUCGGGUUGUGAACCGCUUUCGCCUGUGACGAAGCGUGAGUGACGGUAAUGGGUAAAGAAGCACCGGCUAACUACGUG